rnacentral:misc_RNA from 1 species
AAUAUAACAGUACAAAGUUGAACUUUUUUUUUCCCUCUCUAUCUUCUUCAAGAACUCAAGAAGGAUCGAUCAAACCAACUAAUGAAGAGCUCUUCGAUGCCUCCUUCUUAUUCCAAAGUCUUCGAGUCCAACAAAUCAACAAUUGUUUUGCUCUAUGCAGAAUGAAGGCCAAAAAGGUCCUUUUGCCAGCUAUAGCUGCUUGAAAUUCAUCGCAUCCAAGAAAUAUUGCUUCCACUCGGGGCAAAUCUGAGGUUUUCAAUGACAAUUCGCAGAUCGCAUCAACAGAAGGAAAAAACCCCAACCUUCAGUUUAGAGGGGCCAAAAUAAGGAAAUCAGAUAAAACUCCACCGAUCCAAAUCUUCAACAACCAAUCCGACAAUCCAACACCUGCCAGCGAAAAUCCUCGAUCGCUGAUUGAAUAAAUCUCGAUAGACAAAGAGAUAUAUCGCGAACUUGUAGACCCUCCUUUUCAGCGAAAAAUAAAAUGAACGUGAAAUCUCCGUCAAGCAAACCGAAAAAUCUAGAGAUUCGAAGAUGUUGCUCGAAGAAUUUCAAAUGUCGGAGCGAGAACAGCAAGUAGCAAUCAUCGUGGGUUAGGGUUCGUAGAGUUGAAAGGGAGAGAGAGAAUGGGGGGUUUCAGACGGCUAAGAAAUUGGUUAGAAGAUGGAGAACAGUUAGAAUAAAAU